rnacentral:rRNA from 1 species
UGGUCUGAACCGAUUUAUCGGUUUUGUAAAGCCGCAAGGCGCUUUGGGAUGAGCUUGCGUCCUAUCAGGUAGUUGGUGAGGUAAUGGCUCACCAAGCCUACGACGGGUAGCUGGCCUCAUGAGGGUGGUCAGCCAGAGGGGGACUGAGACACGGCCCCCACUCCUACGGGAGGCAGCAAUCAGGAAUAGUCGGCAAUGGACGAAAGUCUGACCGCGCGACGCCGCGUGCAGGAUGAAGCUUCACAAGAGUGUAAACUACUGUGGUAGGGGAAGAGAAAGGACGGUACCCUACUAGAAAGCAGCCGCUAACUGCGUGCCAGAAGCGUCGGUAAUACGUGGGCUGCGAGCGUUAUCCGGUGUCAUUGGGCGUAAAGAGUCGUGUAGGUGGAUUCAUAAGUCACUUUUUAAAUCUCUGGGCUUAACUCAGAAACUUGAGGUGAUACUGUGAGUCUUUGAGGUUCCUUUAGGGAGAACGGAAUUGUGGGAGGAGUAGUGAAAUGCGUUGAUACCCACGAGAACUCCAGUGGCGAAGGCGGUUCUCUGGAAGGAUCCUGACACUGAGACACGAAAGUUAGGGGAGCGAAGCAGAUUAGAGACCUGCGUAGUCCUAACUGUAAACGGAUGU